rnacentral:rRNA from 1 species
ACGGGAGGCAGCAGUGGGGAAUAUUGGGCAAUGGGCGAAAGCCUGACCCAGCAACGCCGCGUGAAGGAAGAAGGUCUUCGGAUUGUAAACUUCUUUUAUGAGGGACGAAGGACGUGACGGUACCUCAUGAAUAAGCCACGGCUAACUACGUGCCAGCAGCCGCGGUAAU